UGAGGAAUAUUGGUCAAUGGGGGCAACCCUGAACCAGCCAAGUCGCGUGAAGGAUGAAGGUCUUAUGGAUUGUAAACUUCUUUUACACGGGAAUAAAGCGGGGGACGUGUCCCUCUUUGCAUGUACCGUGUGAAUAAGGAUCGGCUAACUCCGUGCCAGCAGCCGCGGUAAUACGGAGGAUCCGAGCGUUAUCCGGAUUUAUUGGGUUUAAAGGGUGCGCAGGCGGGAUGUUAAGUCGGCGGUGAAAUUUUGCAGCUCAACUGUAAAGGUGCCUUCGGUACUGGGCUUCUUGAGGGUGGAUGAAGUAGGCGGAAUUUGUGGUGUAGCGGUGAAAUGCUGAGAUAUCACGAGGAACUCCAAUUUCGCAGGCAGCUUACUAAGCCACAACUGACGCUCAUGCACGAAGGCGUGGGGAUCAAACA
rnacentral:rRNA from 1 species